rfam:Oryza barthii chromosome 6, whole genome shotgun sequence.
AAAAAGACAAACCUGAUUUCCGUGCCUAACGUUUGACCGUCUGUCUUAUUUGAAAAAAUUGUGACAAAAAUUAAAAAGACAAGUCACGCAUAAAAUAUUAAUCAUGUUUUAUCAUCUAACAACAAUGAAAAUACGAAUUAUAAAAAAAAUUCAUAUAAGACGGACAAUUAAAGUUGGACACGGAAACUUAGGGUUUGCUUUUUC